GUACAUUUGGAUACUAAAUCUUUCAUAAUUACUGAAGGAACAUGACUGGUCCUAAAAUGCAAGUGGGCAUAAACAGGGAACGAAAUGACAGGAAAAAGAUUCCAUCUGUACUCUUGAUGAAGGAUAUGGGCUCAAGAGAUAUUUCAAAAGCAACAGCUGAAGGUAAUGUUACAGGAUUAAGCCUCACAUUUUAGGCUGCAGAAACGGUCAGAAAUUGAUUUUGUUUUAGAAUUGAUUACUGUAGAAUUGA
rnacentral:lncRNA from 1 species